ACCGGAGCUAAUACCGGAUAAUAGGAGGAACCUCCUGGUUCCUUCUUGAAAGAUGGUUUCGGCUAUCACUUAAGGAUGGGCCCGCGGCGCAUUAGCUAGUUGGUGAGGUAACGGCUCACCAAGGCGACGAUGCGUAGCCGACCUGAGAGGGUGAUCGGCCACACUGGGACUGAGACACGGCCCAGACUCCUACGGGAGGCAGCAGUAGGGAAUCUUCCACAAUGGACGAAAGUCUGAUGGAGCAACGCCGCGUGAGUGAUGAAGGCCUUCGGGUCGUAAAGCUCUGUUGUUAGGGAAGAACAAGUGCGAGAGUAACUGCUCGCACCUUGACGGUACCUAACCAGAAAGCCACGGCUAACUACGUGCCAGCAGCCGCGGUAAUACGUAGGUGGCAAGCGUUAUCCGGAAUUAUUGGGCGUAAAGCGCGCGCAGGUGGUUUCUUAAGUCUGAUGUGAAAGCCCACGGCUCAACCGUGGAGGGUCAUUGGAAACUGGGG
rnacentral:rRNA from 1 species